UUCCGGUUGAUCCUGCCGGAGGUCAUUGCUAUUGGAGUCCGAUUUAGCCAUGCUAGUCGUACGAGUUCAUACUCGUGGCGAAUAGCUCAGUAACACGUGGCCAAACUACCCUGUCGAGCACGAUAACCUCGGGAAACUGAGGCUAAUAGUGCAUACGGCUCGAUGCCUGGAACUGGCUCGAGCUCGAAACGCUCCGGCGCGACAGGAUGUGGCUGCGGCCGAUUAGGUAGACGGUGGGGUAACGGCCCACCGUGCCGAUAAUCGGUACGGGUUGUGAGAGCAAGAGCCCGGAGACGGAAUCUGAGACAAGAUUCCGGGCCCUACGGGGCGCAGCAGGCGCGAAACCUUUACACUGCACGACAGUGCGAUAAGGGGACUCCAAGUGCGAGGGCAUACAGUCCUCGCUUUUCACUACCGUAAGGUGGUGGUGGAAUAAGUGCUGGGCAAGACCGGUGCCAGCCGCCGCGGUAAUACCGGCAGCACGAGUGAUGACCGCUAUUAUUGGGCCUAAAGCGUCCGUAGCCGGCUUCGCAAGUCCGUCGGGAAAUCCGCACGCUCAACGUGCGGGCGUCCGGCGGAAACUGCGUGGCUUGGGACCGGAAGACUCGAGGGGUACGUCCGGGGUAGGAGUGAAAUCCCGUAAUCCUGGACGGACCACCGGUGGCGAAAGCGCCUCGAGAGGACGGAUCCGACGGUGAGGGACGAAAGCUAGGGUCACGAACCGGAUUAGAUACCCGGGUAGUCCUAGCUGUAAACGAUGUCUGCUAGGUGUGGCGCUGGCUACGAGCCAGCGCUGUGCCGUAGGGAAGCCGUGAAGCAGACCGCCUGGGAAGUACGUCUGCAAGGAUGAAACUUAAAGGAAUUGGCGGGGGAGCACUACAACCGGAGGAGCCUGCGGUUUAAUUGGAUUCAACGCCGGA
rnacentral:rRNA from 1 species